CUGAUGGGCAACGAAGGCCCUCGUCUAUGAAUAUUUUUACAAACGCUCAAAGUAUGACAGAAUGUAUAUCAUAUUGCGUCUGAUAAACGUGACAAAUACAACUUUCAACAACGGAUCUCUUGGCUCUCGCAUCGAUGAAGAACGCAGCGAAAUGCGAUAAGUAAUGUGAAUUGCAGAAUUCAGUGAAUCAUCGAAUCUUUGAACGCACCUUGCGCUCCUUGGUAUUCCGAGGAGCAUGCCUGUUUGAGUGUCAUGAAAUUCUCAACUGCCCCAGGCUUUGUGGCCUGCGGGUGAAGUUGGACUUGGAGGUAUGCUGGCGCAUGAAUGGGCUUUUGUGCCCCGUCUCGCUUGUUGGCUCCUCUUGAAUGCAUGAGCUUUCCAAUCCUUGGCAAAGUAUCGUCGAUGUGAUAAUUGUCUACGUCGCCUGAGAAAGCCGAGAAGGGGAAAUCUUUGAUCACGCUGGGGUGACCUGCGUCUGACAAAUUCGACCUCAAAUCAGGUAGGACUACCCGCUGAACUUAAGCAUAUCAAUAAGCGGAGGAAAAGAAACUAACAAGGAUUCCCCUAGUAACUGCGAGUGAAGCGGGAAAAGCUCAAAUUUAAAAUCUGGCGGCCUCCGGUCGU
rnacentral:rRNA from 1 species